rnacentral:rRNA from 1 species
UACGAAGGGGGUUAGCGUUGCUCGGAAUUACUGGGCGUAAAGGGCGCGUAGGCGGCACUGUUAGUCAGGCGUGAAAGUCCUGGGCUCAACCUGGGAACUGCGCUUGAUACGGCAGAGCUAGAGGAUGGAAGAGGCUCGCGGAAUUCCCAGUGUAGAGGUGAAAUUCGUAGAUAUUGGGAAGAACACCGGUGGCGAAGGCGGCGAGCUGGUCCAUUACUGACGCUGAGGCGCGACAGCGUGGGGAGCAAACAGG